rnacentral:lncRNA from 1 species
UUGCCAGAGUUUUUGAGCUUUGGAUUUGAUUGGGAGGUGGAGCCUCCUUCUCAGUGUGAGUUCGGUUAGGCCCUAUAGAGGUUCUUUCCUUCAUCUUCUUCCUCUUUUGAUCUUUACCUUUGGAUUGGCACUGGUCAGUCGCACCUUUCUCAAUGUGGAUGUAUUUCUACACACGCUCGAGGAGUUCGACGUAGGAUCGAAAAAGCAUCU